rnacentral:rRNA from 1 species
UACGAAGGGAGCUAGCGUUGUUCGGAAUCACUGGGCGUAAAGCGCACGUAGGCGGACUUGUCAGUCAGGGGUGAAAUCCCGGGGCUCAACCUCGGAACUGCCUCUGAUACAGCAAGUCUUGAGUCCGGAAGAGGUGGGUGGAAUUCCUAGUGUAGAGGUGAAAUUCGUAGAUAUUAGGAAGAACACCGGUGGCGAAGGCGGCCCACUGGUCCGGUACUGACGCUGAGGUGCGAAAGCGUGGGGAGCAAACAGGAU